AAUCUGAGGAUUUUGCUAUCUGUAUUGAUCCUAUCUAUGAAUGGCAUAAGAUUUUCAGCCCAAUCAUCUAAUCGUGCCCUCAAUUUUAAUUUUCUCCAAGAGUAUAAAUGUAAGGGAAUGUAUAAUGUCAAUUCAUACUCAAAAUGAUUAUUCGUCAACGCGAUCAGUCAAAAAUCUAGCAAGAAGAGAGACAUUCAUGCAAAAAUAGAAUGAUUUGAAGGAUAUAUAAAAGAUAAAAAAGGGAAAUAUAUAUAAUAAAAUGCAAGUGACAGAGACAGACAUAGCUAGCUGGUUCUAAAUAUGAACCAUUACCUUGAUCACCAACAAUCUAGAAAUGUAUACGACCAACAAUCUAGAAAUGUAUACGACCACACGUGAGGUCAAAAACUAUAGUUCAAACACUUGAUCUAAAAUCGUGUAUAUUACAAGGAUUCCAAUCUAUAAUCAGCUAGGCACUUCACAAAGCCAUCUACAUACCUCUCCUGCCGUUUCUUGUCG
rnacentral:lncRNA from 1 species